AUCCAGCUGACGAGUCCAAAAUACAUAGAAACGCGCGUCCUGGAU
rfam:Schistosoma mansoni, Puerto Rico, WGS project CABG01000000 data, contig: 0178